rnacentral:rRNA from 1 species
GACGAACGCUGGCGGCGUGCUUAACACAUGCGAGUCGAACGGUGAAGCGCCUUGCUUUUUGGUGGGUGUGGAGGAGUGGCGAACGGGUGAGUAACACGUGAGUAACCUGCCCCCUUCUUCUGGAUAACCGCAUGAAAGUGUGGCUAAUACGGGAUAUUCUGGGUCGGUCGCAUGAUGGGUCUGGGAAAGAUAUUGUUUCGGUGGGGGAUGGGCUCGCGGUGCAUCAGCUUGUUGGUGAGGUGAUGGCCUACCAAGGCGGCGACGGGUAGCCGGCCUGAGAGGGUGACCGGCCGCACUGGAGCUGAGACACGGUCCAGACUCCUACGGGAGGCAGCGGUAGGGAGUGUUGCGCAAUGGGCGAAAGCAUGACGGAUCAACGCCGCGUGAGUGAGGAAGGUCUUCGGAUCGUAAAGCUCUGUUAUGAGGGAAGAACAUAUGUGUAAGUAACUGUGCACAUCUUGACGGUACCUAAUCAGAAAGCCACGGCUAACUACGUG